GCUACCGCUAUUGGAGUUCGAUUAAGCCAUGCGAGUAGAAAGAUUUAGAUUCUUUGCGUACCGCUCAGUAACACGUGGGUAACCUGCCCUAUGCUGGGGAAUAACCUCGGGAAACUGAGAAUAAUGCCCCAUAGCCCACUACGCCUGGAACGGUGAGUGGGUCAAAGCUUCGGCGGCAUAGGAUGGGCCUGCGCCGUAUCAGGUUGUAGGGGGUGUAAAGUACCCUCUAGCCAUCAACGCGUACGGGUGUUGGGAGACAUUGCCCGGAGAUGGAUUCUGAGACACGAAUCCAGACCCUACGGGGUGCAGCAGGCGCGAAAACUUGGCAAUGCGAGCAAUCGUGACCAGGGAACUCCAAGUGCUUAGGGUAAGACCUAAGCUUUUCUUGACUCUUCAAAGGUCUUGGAAUAAGGGGUGGGUAAGGACGGUGCCAGCCGCCGCGGUAAUACCGGCGCCUCAAGUGGUAGUCGCUUUUAUUGGGCCUAAAACGUCCGUAGCCGGUCUGGUGCAUUCGUGGGUAAAUCAACCCGCUCAACGGGUUGAAUUCUGCGAGCACGGCCAGACUUGGGACCGGGACAGGUGUGGGGUACUCUCAGGGUAGGGGUAAAAUCCUGUCAUCCUGAGAGGACCACCUGUUGCGAAGGCGCCACACUAGAACGGAUCCGACGGUCAGGGACGAAACCUAGGGGCACGAACCGGAUUAGAUACCCGGGUAGUCCUAGGUGUAAACGCUGUGGACUUGAUGUUGGGGGCGCUCCGAGCGCUUUCAGUGUCGAAGCGAAGGUGAUAAGUCCACUGCCUGGGGAGUACGGUCGCAAGGCUGAAACUUAAAGGAAUUGGCGGGGGAGCACUGCAACCUGAGGAUUGUGCGG
rnacentral:rRNA from 1 species